UGUUAACUUAGUUAUGGGGCAAAUAUUAAUUGAAAUCUAAUGUUUAUUAGAUUUCUUUCAAAGAUAGGCUUUAUUGAAAGGACUGUUUGUUUUCUAGUAUCUGUCCUCAAGUAGCCUUUCACAUUU